rnacentral:rRNA from 1 species
GACGAACGCUGGCGGCGUGCUUAACACAUGCAAGUCGAACGGAAAGGCCCUGCUUUUGUGGGGUGCUCGAGUGGCGAACGGGUGAGUAACACGUGAGUAACCUGCCCUUGACUUUGGGAUAACUUCAGGAAACUGGGGCUAAUACCGGAUAGGAGCUCCUGCUGCAUGGUGGGGGUUGGAAAGUUUCGGCGGUUGGGGAUGGACUCGCGGCUUAUCAGCUUGUUGGUGGGGGAGUGGCUUACCAAGGCUUUGACGGGUAGCCGGCCUGAGAGGGUGACCGGCCACAUUGGGACUGAGAUACGGCCGAGACUCCUACGGGAGGCAGCAGUGGGGAAUAUUGCACAAUGGGCGGAAGCCUGAUGCAGCAACGCCGCGUGCGGGAUGACGGCCUUCGGGUUGUAAACCGCUUUCGCCUGUGACGAAGCGUGAGUGACGGUAAUGGGUAAAGAAGCACCGGCUAACUACGUG